rnacentral:rRNA from 1 species
ACGGGUGAGUAAUGUCUGGGGAUCUGCCCGAUAGAGGGGGAUAACCACUGGAAACGGUGGCUAAUACCGCAUAACGUCGCAAGACCAAAGAGGGGGACCUUCGGGCCUCUCACUAUCGGAUGAACCCAGAUGGGAUUAGCUAGUAGGCGGGGUAACGGCCCACCUAGGCGACGAUCCCUAGCUGGUCUGAGAGGAUGACCAGCCACACUGGAACUGAGACACGGUCCAGACUCCUACGGGAGGCAGCAGUGGGGAAUAUUGCACAAUGGGCGCAAGCCUGAUGCAGCCAUGCCGCGUGUAUGAAGAAGGCCUUCGGGUUGUAAAGUACUUUCAGCGGGGAGGAAGGCGAUGUGGUUAAUAACCGCAUUGAUUGACGUUACCCGCAGAAGAAGCACCGGCUAACUCCGUGCCAGCAGCCGCGGUAAUACGGAGGGUGCAAGCGUUAAUCGGAAUUACUGGGCGUAAAGCGCACGCGGGCGGUCUGUUAAGUCAGAUGUGAAAUCCCCGGGCUUAACCUGGGAACUGCAUUUGAAACUGGCAGGCUUGAGUCUCGUAGAGGGGGGUAGAAUUCCAGGUGUA